rnacentral:lncRNA from 1 species
AUUUUAUGUGAGUUUAUCACCCCUAAGCUCCUUAUUAGCAUGAGGUCUCACAGAGUUUCUAGAUGAGAAGGUCAUUUUAAAAAUUAUUCAGCGUUAUUGUAUAGUUCUUUUAAAAAAUAAAUUGAAAAGAUAUGAUGGAAAGGAAAUCUGGAGGACAUUUGCUCUGAAUCCCAGCAGUCUUGACUUAAGUGAUGGGCAUACAGGCUUCAAACACUGCCAGUUGGAGCAGGAGGCAGUUAGGAAGACACUGAUUUUUGUCCUGGCUCUGCCUGUAAGAUAUGAUCUAUGCAUGGCAAAGAACUUGGAUAAUUUGUCAGCAGUGCUCAGGAGUUUUGAAAGGAGCUGACUCAUGAGCCAUGUUCUGGGACACUGCUGAUUCUCAGUGGGCAAGCUGUACUGUGUGUAUUUUGGAGCUCCAUAACACAGACUCAUGCCUUGAAUGGGGGGAUGCCGGGAGGGCUGGGAUGCUUGGAGAGAAAAAGAAAAGAAACAGAAUAUGGCAAGACACUCUACAUGCUAAAGCUUACAGAUGCUUUGAUUACAGGAAACUUACGUAAAUGAUAACAGUGCGCAGAACUAGACGUGGAAGAAGGGAAAAAAUAUGGGAUCCCGACAUAGGCCUUUGUACUCAUAAAAUCACGGGUGAGACUGCUGAAAACAACUGUUGGGAGUUUUAUGAUUUAAUCCCAUUGACUGGAUCACUGAACAGGGCAUUUUUCACUUCCAGUUUUCGUGCUUUAGCUGACCUACGAAAUCUCAUGGUUUUGUUUGGUGACACGUGCUUUUAGGAAAACUUGUUAUUUCUGCUGUUCUGCACUGCCCUGUCUCCACUGAACUGCCUGAUCUCCUGUGGAAUUUACAGUUUCAGCGCAGCCAGCAAAUGCAGGGAAAGAAUGUGUGCUUCAUAGCUGGAGUGCUCCUGAUAACAGUCCAUUCUGGUAUCGGUGGCUGGAAGAGAGAGGGACUGCCACCCAGUGUUUUUACAGUGCCUGUUUCAGGCAGCUUCUAAAUUGACAGCGAAGGGUGGAGUGGGUAGGGGGAGAAACAAGAAAAAAAAAUUCCCUGUCUUUGGGGUGGGGGAGAUAAUUCUAAAAUCUCUGAGAAACUUAAAUAUGGUAAUUCCCUAUUCCAAACAUACACAAGUCACAAGCAACCUUAUUCUUUGGUUUCUAGGCACAUUUUUGAGUUUAGCACAAUAGGGAGAAGAAAAUUGGAGGUUAGCGAAUCCAGUAGGGCAAGAGGUGAAGAGGACUAAAUUUCAGUCAAGACAACAAGGAAAGUACAAAGAAUACAGUUUCUCUUUCAUGUGCUUUGAUCGUCUUUCCUGUUUUACCCUUAAUGAAUACUUUCUCAAAACUAAAAAUAAAACACUGCAUUCUAUUAAAUUGUGCUCUUCCUCUAAG